rnacentral:rRNA from 1 species
AACAAACGCUGGCGGCGUGCCUAACACAUGCAAGUCGUACGAGAAAGGGUCCUUCGGGGCCUGAGUAAAGUGGCGCACGGGUGAGUAACGCGUGGAUAAUCUGCCCUUCAGUUGGGAAUAACUCAUCGAAAGGUGGGCUAAUACCGAAUAAUGCUGUGAGACCUCGGUAGAUCAGCCAAAGAGAGCCUCUGCUUGCAAGCCCUCGCUGAAGGAUGAGUCCGCGUACCAUUAGCUAGUUGGUAGGGUAAUGGCCUACCAAGGCGACGAUGGUUAGCUGGUCUGAGAGGAUGAUCAGCCACACUGGAACUGAGACACGGUCCAGACUCCUACGGGAGGCAGCAGUGAGGAAGCUUGCGCAAUGGGGGCAACCCUGACGCAGCAACGCCGCGUGAGUGAGGAAGGUCUUCGGAUCGUAAAGCUCUGUCGGAUGGAAAGAACCGCAUAGGGGUAAACAGCCCCUGUGUCUGACGGUACCAUCAAAGGAAGCACCGGCUAACUCCGUGCCAGCCGCCGCUGUAACAC